AGGCUGGAGUGCAGUGGCAUGAUCUCGGUUCACUGCAACCUCUGCCUCCUGGGUUCAAGCGAUUCUUCCACCUCAGCCUCCCGAGUAGCUGGGAUUAUAGGCGCUCAUGCCACCACGCCUGGCUAAUUAUUGUAGACGGGGUUUCACCAUGUUGGCCAGGCUGGUCUUUAACUCCUGACCUCAGGUGAUAUGCCCGCCUAGGCCUCCCAAAGUGUUGGGAUUACAGGCAUGAGCCACCAUGCCUGGCCAAAAAUUUUUUAUUGUAGACAGAAUCUUGAGUGGUGCCCAUGCUGGAAUACAGUGGUGUGAUCAUAGCUCACUGCAGUCUCGAACUCCUGGCCUCAAGCUAUCCUCCUGCCUCAGCCUUCUAAGUAGCUGAGGUGCCUACCCAUCAUGCCCAGAUUAUUUUAAACAGUUUUUGUAGUGAUGGAGUUUUGCUGUGUCGCCCAGGCUGGGCUUGAACUCUUGGCCUCAAGCCAUGCUGCCACCCCUCAGCCUCCCAAAGUGCUGGGAUUACAGGCAUGAGCCACCAGGCUGGGCCUCUGUUACCCUUUUUUAGCAGCUAUUUUAGUCUGAUGACUGUUGUGUGCAGUGUCUUAGAUUCACUAAACAAAGCAGCAGUUAAUUAAGCGUUAAUUAAGCAUUAAUUAAGAAAACUUAGCCCCAGAACUGUCCUAAUUUUCAAGGUCUUUUUAGAAAAUAGCACACAUGUACUAACUGCUUGAUAUUGCUAGGAAAGGGGCUGCAUACUUGAUGAUAGUCAUCCUUGCUGCCUCCUGUGCCUGUGGCAUGGCCAUCAGCAUGCGUUCUCACGUUUAGUCCUACAGAGUGAGUGGUAGUCUCCUCUCACACCUGAGGAAAUUGAGGCAUGGAGGUAAAUGACUUGCCUGAGGUGGAGGCCUGUGAGGGUGGACAGUGCUAGAGUGAUAGCUGAGUGGCUUCUAACAUGUAUUAUCCCAUUUAAAUCUCGCAAUAACCCUAUAGGUAUUAAGUUGUCUGUGUUUUACAGAGUCUGAAGAAACAAGCUCAGAGGCAGAGUUGGCUAGCUGUUCCAGUUUGCCAAGAACUUGAGUGAUUUCUCUAGACUUCAGUGCUAAAAAGGAACCUCUUAGGCAGAGGGGACAAGCUCGUCACUCCACUCAAAUUUCAGUUUGCCCAGGAAGACAUGUUGCUUAUCAGUAGUACAAUAUUAUCAUUAGACCUGUACAUUGCCCUUUGGGUAUCAGGGUGAAUAGGGCAUCCUGAUCCUAGACAUCCUUUUUCUGGUGGUGCUGUCAACAAUAACAACAUAGAGAUGGUUACCAGAGCAGUUCCUAUGUGCCAGGUGCCAUUCUAAACAUUUUGCAUGUUAAAUUUGAUAGUGACAAUAUAUUAGUGACGAAGAAUGAUAGUCCUGAGUUAGUGAAAAAACGAUAAAAAACGCAUGUAGUUUUGCUGUUUAGAUUCUCUCUGCUGAAUUUUCAUGAACUAAGGAACAAAAUUGCCAUCUAUGAAGUACUGCUGGAAAUUUCUCUUACGGCUAUUAAGUGUCCAGUUUCUUCAAGCUAAUUUCUUUUCAUAGGUGGUGAAAGUAAAUGUGAAAUGUUUCUGAUGAUAAGGGCUUACUUUGUAGCACACCUGCUAACUUAGGCUUCUCUGCAAGUUCGGCUUUCUGUUGUGCAGAUGCUACAUCACAGCUUUAGAAUUCUGAUUUUUGAUCAUUUGUCCUAAGUACUAAGUCUUUAAUAUUAACUACAAGUUUAAAUAUCAUUUUAGCACUAUAGAGGUUAUGUAGGGAAGCUGUCUUCACAUUUUGUGAAUGUGCCUAAAAAUACAUUACCCAGCACUUCACGUUCUUCAGAUCCUAAACUCAGGAGUUUCUUAAUUUAUGAUCCAUGAACUCCCUUGGGUAAAAAGUGUAAAUAUGUGACCUAGAAGGUUGGAAAAAUGUUAAAGUCUAGAAUAUUAUCAGAUUUUUCAUAAUAGAGAGUUAAAAUGAGAAUGUACUUACACUACCAACCUCAAAGACCUAUGCUUAUAUGGGGACUGCUGUCUAGGAGACCACCUUUAAAGUAGAUUAAAUGCCAGAGCCUGUGGUGUCUGAAAGGGAUCUUUAGGCCCAUCAUGGUGUCCAGUUCAAAACAAAUACUAAUACCAGUCAUUCACGCAAAUGAUUCAGCUGUGCAUUUUGAGAGGAAAAAUAUAUGUAAGGUUGCUAAACAGUAGCUAGUGUUGUUCUUCAUGGCCUUUUAAAGAGGGUGCUCCGGACCCACUUAUCUUCAUUUUGCUCAUCACCAGCAACAUGAUUUCUUUUUUUUUGCCUUCUCAUCUCUGAACUAAACAUUAUUUCUUUUAAAAAAGAAAAUACAUGAAAUCCUUUUCAGAAGGCAACUUUCCGAUAAGAAUUUAAGAUAUUUAAAGUGUAAACUAAACUUUGGCAGCCACAUAGACAUGUUUGCUGUAUGCAAACUAAGCUGUGAGGUCAUACUUUCAAAUACAAAUUCAGAAUUAAUUGCAAUGAAUCAAUGUAUUUUUUUUCCAGAAAUUGUGUAGUUUCCUACAGUUUUGAACCCAUGAUAUGGAAAGUUUAAUGUUAAAUAAUUUGUCAUUCACCUAAAAGUGUACUAAAAAAAUAGAACAUUAGCAAUGAAUCAUAAGGCUUUAGUGGUUCAGUGGUUUUUCUGACAGUAAUCUUUCUGUGUUAGAUGUAUGUAUAUCUUGAAAGAGUCAUAAAAUUCAUAAAAACGUCCUGUGAGAGUCACAGAUGCAUUCACUCGUUGGACUUCCUGGCCUGCUACCAAGCAGCUUGUUUAGAAUGGGAAGACUGAAUAUAUGGAAAAACCACACAAGAUAGUUUGCUGAAAAUAAAAACAAUUCAAACUCCAAGCAUCACAUAUAUGUAAUUAGGAUCCCAAAUUUGGACUCUUAUAAGCUACAAAUGCUUGGAAGAGUCCCUGUGUAGGUCCAGAUUGGAGGUCUCAUUACAACAAGGAAAGUGAUCUUUGGUCCUAAAAAGGAUGGGAGAUUCAUCCACUGUUUGUUAUUAUAUUGUGGAAAACAACUUAUGAAAAUAACUGGGAAUUUAUAAGAGGUCAUUUUAAAGAGAUUAAGGAUUUUUUAGAGAAGGUCAUUUUUGGCUAUUAAAACAUUUUUCUAGGUUUUAUAUGUGCUUUCAAGUGAUUAAAUAUAUCAAUAAGACUACACGAAAGGAGAGGACAGAAUUGAAGGGGAGGGCAAGGAUUUUUGGAAUGCACUUGGGAAUUCCAAGUUCAGCCCUGCUCUGUUCCAGCCCCACGACCCCUUUGGGAUGAAGCAGCUUGGGUGUCUAAUUGUGUUGGUUCUAAGGCUGGCACUCCUCUGGUUAUGUCUCACAUGUUGUUAGAAAAUUGAUAACCUCAUCCCAGAACUGCACAUUGUAUUUACAGUGGUUCUCUGUACCCCGUUUCCUAGUCACAAACGACUUCACUUCUGACUUCAUUUUUUUAUUCAUAGGUGAUAGUAGUGAUCAUCUUUGUCUAAUAAGCUCCUAAUUGAGAAGUGAGCAGAAUACAUAUAGAUCAACACCCAGUGCUGUACAUUUUCCAGCCAUUUCCUAGCUAUUUAUAGCAUCGGUUUUUGUUUUUGUUUUUUUGCUUUGAUAUAAUAUUCCAUGUUUAACUGGUUUGAUAAAUUAGGGUAAAAGUUGAGAUACUAAAAAUAGAUGUGUUGCUACUAAGAUGCUAAACAUGGUUUCAGUUCAGUAUCUUAUGAAAAACAAAGUUCAGUAUGAAAUCUGGUUAGUAAUAAAGUUAGACUGUCUAGGGACAUCACCAUGUCCAUCAGUUCUUACCUAUUUGAGUCCUACUUAGAAAUCCUUAAAAACGUUUUUAGAAUGCACAUGGAUUUGUCUAAAUUAAACUUCUAGUUUCCAGGGUCAAAAUACUUACCCAUAAUGUCUGAAGGACUUGGUAAAAUUUAACAAUAUCCUCGGUCUAAUUUCUCAAUACUAAAGAAGUUGUGACUAUGACUACAUAAGCUUCUACAUCUGAGAACCCAUGCCAAGUUGUUGCUCCCUUGGCCUGCUUUUCCGUUUACAAAAAGUGGGGGUGGGAGCAGUAGGAUGAUUCCUUCUGUGUUUCUUAAAAGAUGUUUUCAGUAUAAUCAUGUUUAUUUUCCAUGUGCUAGAAGUGGGGACUGGAUCUUUGCCAUUUCCUGAACAGUUAAUUAGCAAGCUGCUUACCUGCAGUGAUCUGCAAAUUCAUUGAUGCCACACCCUGCUCUCCUGAAGGGUUGUCAUGGUGGCUGCAGGUAAAGACUGGACAGGCAGAUUCAGAGUUCAGAAAACAGCGUAUUCCUGAGCGGGACUAGAUGUCUUUUUGCUUUCUAAUAUAAAGUCCAGAUCAUUUGAACUCAGACUUCGGAGAUUAGCGUAACUGUCUUGAUAAGUUUGCCCUCUUUACAUCUCUCUGUAACAAGGUCUUUCUGCCUAUGGUAGCCCUCCGGAGAAGUGAUGUGCAGAAGAGAUCACCAGGAAGAACGUGCCAGAAUGAUUGCUUUUAUUUAAAAUCUACCAUCCAUUAACUUAAAGGUUAAGCUGCCACCUACGUUUGGCAAUGUUAUAUGCUUCCAACAGUGUUUUCUCACUGUUAAAACGUUUGUGCAUAUAACUUAAGAUUAUAGAGUAUACAUACUCGAUCAGCAAUAGUAUAAAUAUUUUACCAUAGGGCUAAUACUGCAGACCUUUCUUCCUAAAGCAGUAAAGUAUCUUGGACCAAAUUUCCCUGGUUAUAUUACCACAUACAUUUAUCUCCUAUUAAAGUUUAUAUUGACUUUAGAUAACAUUUCCAGUAGUAGAAAGAUGCUAAUGAAAUAUAAAGGGCAACUUGCGGCCUGAUAAAAUUACACGAUGAGGUGCUUCAACUGUUGAACACAGUGAAGUAGCUGCUGAGCUGGUUAUGUCCCUUGUGAUUUUUUUGUAUUGAGUUCAUUUGAAUCUUUCCAAGUUGACCCUGUGUGUCUGCUUUGUUUCAGUGGCCUUAGCAGAGGUGUACAGUACCCUUUCAUUUACGAGAUCAGGGGAGUACCACAAAUCUAAAACCUAAGAAUAAAGGGUGAGAUUAAAGCAUGUUACUCUGACUCUACAUCAUUUUGGGUAAAAUGUGAUCUUCAUUACUACUUUCAUAUAUAUAGGUUUCUAAAAUUUGUUGAAAUCAGUCAUUAACGCUGGACCAGAAGAGUUCAGGUGGAUUAAUCUGUCAUCACUGUGGGCUCUUGGGGGUAUGGCAGGCUUGAGUCUGUUUAGAUUGCUUCCAAGCCCUUUCUGUUGAUUUCGUCCCAUUUUAUCUACAGCCCCUAUGUGAGUUGGUGUUACAUUGCUGUUGACCAAAAGCCUGAACUGCCCUAGAGAUUUAAAUUCUAAUAUUUACUUGCCAGGCGCUAAUGGACACAAUCAUAACCCAAAAUGAAAAUAGAGUAAAUCAAAUAGCUUUUUUUCUGCUGUGAAUUCAGUUGGCAUCUGGAUAUUUGAAUAGACCAAUUAAAAAUCCAAGUAUCUUGGCAACUUCAUUGCUGCAUCUUAGUGUUUAAAUUACAGCAGUAUUAGAGAUAUAAACCAAACAUACCUUAUCUAACAUCCCCCAAAACUCAUCAAUUCUAAUUCUAGUUAGAAAGUCUUCAAGACUCCUGUCUAAAGCUUUGAUUUGUAAUAAAUAGGAUUAACUAAGUUGGUGCAUUUAUGAAUAGAAUCUUUAACAGUUUUUAAGAACUCUGCAAAGAAUAGCAUUGGUUAUUAACUUGAUAAUUUCAUUAAAUUUUUUUCUUGAGACAGGGUCUCACUCUGUCGCCCAGGCUGGAGUGCAGUGGUGUGUGUGAUCUCGGCUCACCGUAGCCUCCGCCUCUCGGGCUCAAGCGCUCCUCCGGGCUCGGCCUUUCGAAGUGCUGGGACUACACGCGUGAGGCACUGUGCCUGGCCAACUUGAUAAUUUCAAUAGCAAAACUGAGUAUCCUAUAGGAUGCUUGUUUCUUAGUUGGUAUAAGUUGCUAAGUAGAAGUAAUCAUCAAUUCAACUCGAUAAAUCUGGUGGGUUUUGUGUUUCGUUCGUGUCAUUUGUGAGCCCGACGGGAAGAGUGGAGCCCCGCGCUGUGGUGCCUGUGUGCGUGCGUUUUAAAGCGUGUUGGAAACGUCUACAAUGGCAGCGCAACCGGCAGCCACGCGGCCUUGGCCACCCCCGAGCUCACGGCCGCAGCUCGGCCCGGGCCCCCUGGACGUCCGGCCUGGGCAGGGGCCGCCGCCUCCGAACGCAUCUCUCUGCCUCCCUGGGACAAGGCGGCCGAGGGAGGAGAGCGGACAGGACUGCGCUGUGGCUGGACGGCGGAUGAGGCUUCUUUCAACAAGGCGAGUUUCAGUGAGAAAUGCGUGAUGCUUUUGAUGUUUCAACAGAAUAUUGUUUCUAAGAUGAUGUAUCUUGCAUGUUUGGCACUUGAGGGGGUGCUCAUCUUUUGAUUCCGCUAUUGAGGUAGAGGCGGGACGCGGGAAGCAGCUUUCCGUAAGACCCGCCCACCCUUGCCCUGUCAGUUUACCAUUGCCAUGGCAACACCCGGAAGUUGCCGCCCUCUUUCCAUGGCAACACCCUGACGGCCGAAAGUUACCGCACUUAUUCCAGAAAUCUCUGCAAAAUCUGUCAGUUUGCAUGUAAUUAACAGUGGGUAUAAAUGUGAGUGCAGCCCUGUCCUGUCAGCUGCUGCCCUGGGCGCACUGCCUUUGGGGUCACUGUGGUUGCUCCUGCGCUUCAGCGGGACUAGAAGCUGCCGCCCACGAGCAGCGGGGAAGAAAUCUUUCUGGGAAAAGCCAGGAGCCCUCCGAGGCUAAGUCCAGUUUGGGGGCUCACCAGCCUUGCAUCAUUCUGAGUCCUGUACUGGAGGCAGAUCAGGCUGCAUCUCCUCAGGGUGACAGAAACCAGGCAGUGAUUCAACUCGUAUUUGACUUUCACAUUCUCCAGCAAUGUUCUUCAAUCUGGGAAGGGUAGAAAAUUAAAGAAAGGUAAGGAGAGUUAAGAAAUGAGAUCAUUUCAAAGUAGGUGCAGUCUUGAAGCCCAAAUGAAUUACAAGAUCCAGUUUGAAAGCUGCUGCAGAAGUGAUUGCAGAAUCGCACGGUGGCCCCGGAAUGGGGAACUGCUGCUGAAAGAGGUCAGAAAGGGUGGGGACUGAAUUUCGGGUAAGAGGACGCCAGUGAUUCUGGAGCACGCGGCCUUCAGCCACGCCUGCGUUCACACGUACAUUAUUUCAGACUCACUCCAAGUUUACAUCUCUAAGCCCAUCCAAGCCAUGGCAGCGCGAACCUCUCCCUCCCCCAGCUCAAGGCCUCUGGGCCCCCAGGACAGAGGACGGAAGAAGAGCCAGCCCUUCCUGGCUCAGGGGUGCCGGGACCCCGUGAUGGCUGCUGUGCCUCUCCUGAGGUGCCAGGUGAGAGCUGAGACUUCUGCUCCCGUUGCACCAGCUCCGUUUGUCUCCAGGCGCAGUGUCAGUCUCGUUCUUUAAGCCCUUCUGAGGUCCCAUCAGCACAGGUCCCGUCUUACCUGGAAAGGCUUGUUGCCUUCUGCCUGGGACUUUUUAUUCUGUGCUUUUCUUUUGGAUAUUAAAUUUCAUAUCCACG